CUGUUUAACUGUCAUUAGAGGGUAUCUGUGGAAUGCGACUUGACCGGCUAAAUGGCAUACUUGUUAAGACCUUUUGAAUAACCUUUGGUAUAUGUAGUCAACACUAUAACCCAGCCUGUUAACUACAGUAGAAGGUAUAUGUAGUCAACACUAUAACCCAGCCUGUUAACUACAGUAGAAGGUAUAUGUAGUUAACACUAUAACCCAGCCUGUUAACUACAGUAGAAGGUAUAUGUAGUCAACACUAUAACCCAGCCUGUUAACUACAGUAGAAGGUAUAUGUAGUCAACACUAUAACCCAGCCUGUUAACUACAGUAGAAGGUAUAUGUAGUCAACACUAUAACCCAGCCUGUUAACUACAGUAGAAGGUAUAUGUAGUCAACACUAUAACCCAGCCUGUUAACUACAGUAGAAGGUAUAUGUAGUCAACACUAUAACCCAGCCUGUUAACUACAGUAGAAGGUAUAUGUAGUCAACACUAUAACCCAGCCUGUUAACUACAGUAGAAGGUAUAUGUAGUCAACACUAUAACCCAGCCUGUUAACUACAGUAGAAGGUAUAUGUAGUCAACACUAUAACCCAGCCUGUUAACUACAGUAGAAGGUAUAUGUAGUCAACACUAUAACCCAGCCUGUUAACUACAGUAGAAGGUAUAUGUAGUCAACACUAUAACCCAGCCUGUUAACUACAGUAGAAGGUAUAUGUAGUCAACACUAUAACCCAGCCUGUUAACUACAGUAGAAGGUAUAUGUAGUCAACACUAUAACCCAGCCUGUUAACUACAGUAGAAGGUAUAUGUAGUCAACACUAUAACCCAGCCUGUUAACUACAGUAGAAGGUACAUGUAGUCAACACUAUAACCCAGCCUGUUAACUACAGUAGAAGGUAUAUGUAGUCAACACUAUAACCCAGCCUGUUAACUACAGUAGAAGGUAUAUGUAGUCAACACUAUAACCCAGCCUGUUAACUACAGUAGAAGGUACAUGUAGUCAACACUAUAACCCAGCCUGUUAACUACAGUAGAAGGUAUAUGUAGUCAACACUAUAACCCAGCCUGUUAACUACAGUAGAAGGUACAUGUAGUCAACACUAUAACCCAGCCUGUUAACUACAGUAGAAGGUACAUGUAGUCAACACUAUAACCCAGCCUGUUAACUACAGUAGAAGGUAUAUGUAGUCAACACUAUAACCCAGCCUGUUAACUACAGUAGAAGGUACAUGUAGUCAACACUAUAACCCAGCCUGUUAACUACAGUAGAAGGUAUAUGUAGUCAACACUAUAACCCAGCCUGUUAACUACAGUAGAAGGUAUAUGUAGUCAACACUAUAACCCAGCCUGUUAACUACAGUAGAAGGUAUAUGUAGUCAACACUAUAACCCAGCCUGUUAACUACAGUAGAAGGUAUAUGUAGUCAACACUAUAACCCAGCCUGUUAACUACAGUAGAAGGUAUAUGUAGUCAACACUAUAACCCAGCCUGUUAACUACAGUAGAAGGUAUAUGUAGUCAACACUAUAACCCAGCCUGUUAACUACAGUAGAAGGUAUAUGUAGUCAACACUAUAACCCAGCCUGUUAACUACAGUAGAAGGUACAUGUAGUUAACACUA